GAUGAACGCUAGCUACAGGCUUAACACAUGCAAGUCGAGGGACCGGCGCACGGGUGAGUAACACGUAUCCAACCUGCCUUUUACUCGGGGAUAGCCUUUCGAAAGAAAGAUUAAUACCCGAUAUAAAGGAUGGGGAGGCGUUCCAUUAGGUUGUUGGUGAGGUAACGGCCCACCAAGCCUUCGAUGGAUAGGGGUUCGGAGAGGAAGGUCCACCACAAUGGAACUGAGACCCGGUCCAAAAUGCUAGGGGAGGCAGGAGUGAGGAAUAUUGGUGAAUGAGCGUUAGCGUGACCCAGCCAAGUAGCGUGAAGGAUGAAGGGGUAGGGGUCGUAAACUUCUUUGAUAGAAGAAUAGGUAUUAUAUGAAUAAGGAUCGGCUAACUCCGUGCCAGCAGCCGCGGUAAUAC
rnacentral:rRNA from 1 species